rnacentral:rRNA from 1 species
UAAUGGCAGGUCAGCAUACUGCCGUGAAUACGUUCCCGGGGCCUUGUACACACCGCCCGUCACACCAUGAGAGUUGGGGAUACCCGAAGCCUGUGAGCUAACAGUAAUGGAGCAGCAGUCGAAGGUAGAAUCAAUGAUUGGGGUGAAGUCGUAACAAGGUACC